rnacentral:rRNA from 1 species
UGGGGAAUAUUGCACAAUGGGCGCAAGCCUGAUGCAGCCAUGCCGCGUGUAUGAAGAAGGCCUUCGGGUUGUAAAGUACUUUCAGCGGGGAGGAAGGGAGUAAAGUUAAUACCUUUGCUCAUUGACGUUACCCGCAGAAGAAGCACCGGCUAACUCCGUGCCAGCAGCCGCGGUAAUACGGAGGGUGCAAGCGUUAAUCGGAAUUACUGGGCGUAAAGCGCACGCAGGCGGUUUGUUAAGUCAGAUGUGAAAUCCCCGGGCUCAACCUGGGAACUGCAUCUGAUACUGGCAGGCUAGAGUCUUGUAGAGGGGGGUAGAAUUCCAGGUGUAGCGGUGAAAUGCGUAGAGAUCUGGAGGAAUACCGGUGGCGAAGGCGGCCCCCUGGACAAAGACUGACGCUCAGGUGCGAAAGCGUGGGGAGCAAACAGG